UGAAUACAUAGCUCUAAAGAGGUACCAUGUGGAGGUACAGUCCUAUGAUAUACCUUGAAUGCAUAGCUGUAAAGAGGUACCAUGUGGAGGUACAGUCCUUUGAUGUACACAGAACACUCUGCUGUAAAAGGUACCAUGUGGAGGUACAGUCCUAUGAUAUACCUAGAAAGCAUAGCUUUAAAGAGGUACCAUAUGGAGGUACAGUCCUAUGAUAUACCUUAAAUGCAUAGCUGUAAAGAGGUAUCAUGUGGAGGUACAGUCCUAUGACGUACACAGAACACUUUGCUGUAAAAGGUACCAUGUGGAGGUACAGUCCUAUGAUAUACCUUGAAUACAUAGCUCUAAAGAGGUACCAUGUGGAGGUACAGUCCUAUGAUGUACACAGGACACUUUGUUGUAAAAGGUACCAUGUGGAGAUACAGUCUUUUGAUAUACCUUGAUUGCAUAGCAGUAAGUAGGUACCAUGUGGAGGUACAGUCCUAUGAUAUACCUUAAAUGCAUAGCUGUAAAGAGGUACCAUGUGGAGGUACAGUCCUAUGAUAUACCUAGAAAGCAUAGCUUUAAAGAGGUACCAUGUGGAGGUACAGUCCUAUGAUAUACCUUAAAUGCAUAGCUGUAGAGAGGUACCAUGUGGAGGUACAGUCCUAUGAUAUACCUAGAAUGCAUAGCUUUAAAGAAGUACCAUGUGGAGGUACAGUCCUAUGAUAUACCUUAAAUGCAUAGCUGCAAAGAGGUACCAUGUGGAGGUACAGUCCUAUGAUAUAUCUUGAAUGCAUAGCUGUAAAGAGGUACCGUGUGGAGGUACAGUCCUAUGAUAUACCUUAAAUGCAUAGCUGUAAAGAAGUACCAUGUGGAGGUACAGUCCUCUGAUAUAUCUUGAAUGCAUAGCUUUAAAGAGGUACCAUGUGGAGGUACAGUCCUAUGAUAUACCUUGAAUGCAUAGCUGUAAAGAUGUACCAUGUGGAGGUACAGUCCUAUGAUGUACACAGAACACUUUGCUGUAAGUAGGUACCAUGUGGAGGUACAGUCCUAUGAUAUACCUUGAAUGCAUAGCUGUAAAGAGGUACCAUGUGGAAGUACAGGCCUAUGAUGUACACAGAACACUUUGCUGUAAAAGGUACCAUGUGGAGGUACAGUCCUAUGAUAUACUUUAAAUGCAUAGCUUUAAAGAUGUACCAUGUGGAGGUACAGUCCUACGAUAUACCUAGAAAGCAUAGCUGUAAAGAGGUACCAUGUGGAGGUACAGUCCUAUGAUAUACCUUGAAUGCAUAGCUGUAUGUAUCAUGUUGUCAUACUGUAUUGAUUUUGUUUUAUGAAAGGGCAUUUGUUCAUGGAAUUUUUUGUGUGGCAGAUAAAAAUGCUCCAUUGCAAUAUUUAGAUAUUUCAUAAUAUAUUUUGUGUUCAACUCCCACUGUUACAAAGUUUGUGUUCUAUCAACCCUGGAAUGACAGAACAUUUAUAAUAUAAAAUGCCAGGCUUUUAUUGGUUUACAUUUCAUCAACUGCACAGCCUUCCCUGCUAAAACAUUUGUGUCACGCUUAUGUUCAACACACACGACUGUUGCUGUCUGAUUUAAUAAAGUUCUUGAAAAAAUCAUUUCCCUUCUGUUUCUCCUACGUGGAUUGACAUUAUUCUUUCAAUGUUCUAGAUUCAACAAAAGAACCCUCUCCCCGCCUGGUUUUUUUUCACUUGUGUUAAAAUCCUAUCAACGUUCAUUUUUGUAUUUUGUCCUCAUAGUGUCCAUGGUGGCUCUGAAGAAACCAAAGUUAAUAUGUUUUUAAAAUAUUUCUCAUCUUUGUAAUGUUUCCUUGAAUUGUCUCUCAUCUGUAACAUGUCCUUCUAAUGUUAUUAUCUCUGUACUGUCCUCUUGUAAUGUCUCCCUCGUCUCCGUGCUGUCCUCCUGUAAUGUCUCUUGUCUCUGUACUGUCCUCUUGUAAUGUCUCCCUCGUCUCUGUGCUGUCUUCCUGUAAUGUCCCUUGUCUCUGUGCUGUCUUCCUGUAAUGUCUCUUCAUCUCUGUAGUAUUUUCUCGUAAUGUCCCUUGUCUCUGUACUGUCCUCUUGUAAUGUCCCUCAUCUCUGUACUGUCCUCCUGUAAUGUCCCUUGUCUCUGUACUGUCCUUUUGUAAUGUCCCUCAUCUCUGUACUGUCUUCCUGUAAUGUCCCUUGUCUCUGUACUGUCCUCUUGUAAUGUCCCUCAUCUCUGUACUGUCCUCCUGUAAUGUCUCUUGUCUCUCCUGUAAUGUCCCUCAUCUCUGUACUGUCCUCCUGUAAUGUCCCUUGUCUCUGUACUGUCCUCUUUUAAUGUCUCCUUCAUCUCUGUACUGUCCCUUGACUCUGUAAUGUCUCCCUCAUCUCUGUACUGUCCCUUGACUCUGUACUGUCCUCUUGUAAUGUCUCCCUCAUCUCUGUACUGUCUUCCUGUAAUGUCUCUUCAUCUCUGUAGUAUUUUCUCGUAAUGUCCCUUGUCUCUGUACUGUCUUCCUGUAAUGUCCCUUGUCUCUGUACUGUCUUCCUGUAUUGUCUCUUCAUCUCUGUAGCAUUUUCU